CCUAUUCAUCUUUUUAACCUAAAACUUCCACCAUUCAUCAUUAAUAUCAUCUAGGUACCUUAAACCUUUCCCAAAACAUCUUAUAACAACUUUUCAAAAAUCACAUUUUUCUGGGCUUGCUCGCCAUGGCGAGUUGGACUGCUCGCGAGGCGAGUGAUGAAGUUGCUCACUCGCGAGGCGAAGCAUGAAUGCUCGCGAGGCGAGCGAUGAACUUCUGUACGGGCAGAAAACUGGUUUUUCCCCAAAAUCCCAUUUUUCUUCCAAUCACUCCCCAAAUCAGUUUACAGAU
rnacentral:lncRNA from 1 species